CGACCGGCGCACGGGUGCGUAACGCGUAUGCAACCUACCUUUAACAGGGGGAUAACACUGAGAAAUUGGUACUAAUACCCCAUAAUAUCAUAGAAGGCAUCUUUUAUGGUUGGAAAUUCCGAUGGUUAGAGAUGGGCAUGCGUUGUAUUAGCUAGUUGGUGGGGUAACGGCUCACCAAGGCGACGAUACAUAGGGGGACUGAGAGGUUAACCCCCCACACUGGAACUGAGACACGGUCCAG
rnacentral:rRNA from 1 species